GUAAGAUCCCUUCAAAUAGAGUCCUCCCCACGCCAGUUGCAUUCAGACCAUUAUCAUUGCACACAAUAUAAAUGAAGGCAGCUUGUACUAAGUUCCAUAUAAAAUCUAAUGGCUCUAUUUAGAUAGAUCUCAUUCUUUUUCUUGGAGACUUUUACACAAUGCUUCAAGAAGACCUAGAGCUAUUUUUUUUCAACAGGGUAGAUUAAGGUACGAGUGAAGUCUCACAAGGCUACUUGGACAGGGACUCCAUUUCUCUAACACUCUGACAUUGUUUUCUAAGAUGUACUCCUAACAUACCUUGCAUCAAAUACAUGUUUUUAAAAAUCAUCUUAGUUUCUGGUUGUCAAGCCCUACUAACAAUUUUCUGUCUGCUGUUGUGACUCAUUGGUAAUUGGUGUCUCUGGUCCCUCCUGCACAGUAGAUUAGAGAGAUGUGAAAUUCAGGCCAGAACCAUUUUGGUUUUGUCCAUUGUGAGAAAUGGAAGUGGCUAAAGUCUGACCUCACAUUCCAUGAAAUUAAAAACAAAAAACAGAAAAAUGCUUUCCCUACUAUCAUGUGUACCAGUUCUCAUCAUUGUAGUCUUGAA